rnacentral:rRNA from 1 species
UACGAAGGGUGCAAGCGUUACUCGGAAUUACUGGGCGUAAAGCGUGCGUAGGUGGUUUGUUAAGUCUGAUGUGAAAGCCCUGGGCUCAACCUGGGAAUUGCACUGGAUACUGGCAGGCUAGAGUGCGGUAGAGGAUGGCGGAAUUCCCGGUGCAGCAGUGAAAUGCGUAGAGAUCGGGAGGAACAUCCGUGGCGAAGGCGGCCAUCUGGACCAGCACUGACACUGAGGCACGAAAGCGUGGGGAGCAAACAGG